CCUCAGCCUCCCUCCCUGCCUGCACCUCUGCAUCCCUUCCUUCCUGCCUGCAUCCCUCCCUGCCUGCACCGCUUCCUCCCUGCCUCCCUUCCUUCCUGCUCCUCUGCCUCCCUCCAUCCCUGCCUGCCCCUCUGCCUCCCUCCCUCCCUGCCUGUCCCCCUGCCUGUGUCCCUCCCAGCAUGAGAGGCCGAUGCAGUGGCUGCUGGAAGUCCUCCCACUGCCAGCUGUGGGAGGAAGGUGGUACCUGCCCAGUGCAGGCACUUCCCCAGCAGGAUCCUGAGGCUCUUUGGGCACCAGGAAAAGGUUCUGGGUCUCAGAUUAUGGCUGGAGGUGAUCAUAUGGCCAUGUCUGGGGCAAUGUGAGGGCACAGAAGUGGUGGCCAUGGAUGUCUUGAUGCAACCAGCCCCAAUGCUCCCUCUGCACUGGGGUCCCUCUGGGACUGCUGAGCUGCAGGUGCACGCAGCACCUCCACCACCAGUCACCCUCCUCCAGGCAUGCAAAAGGCCAUCACAGAGUCUUGGUUCACCGCAGUGAAAAAUGAGAGAGAUCGGGGUGGAAAAGUGCAGCAGAAAGAGGGGAAAAAAACACGUGCUCCAUUUUCUCUCCAUUGGCUUUAGAGCUUAAGUAUCCAUUGGAAAGGAACGUCUUCCUUUUGUGCUCGUACGAUGCUAGGGGCAUUAUGCAUUCUGCGUAGCUCCGUGGUGGCUUAACCAUGGCUUUUAGCCACCUUAUGUAACAUUAACAAUUUCUUAAUCUAUUUUUCUUCUCCCUUGCAGGCAGAGCAGAUAAAGCGAGUUUAUCCCAAGUCUGAAAUGGAGUGUUUUCCGAGGCUGAACAACCCCAACUCUCUCAGCCUGUCCUUGUAUGGAAGGUGCUCCAGCCCUCAGAUCAUCUUUGUAGCCUCCUCUGGACCCGUUCCAACAGCUCCAUCUCCUUCUUACGUUGAGGAUUCCAGAACUGGACACAGGAUUCCAGAUGAGGUCUCACAAGAGAGGAAUAGAGGGACAGAAUCACUUCCCUCAAAGUGAUCAACCUUCGGUAGACGGACUUGCGUGGAGGGGAAAACUGAGGAAUGCUGCUUUUGUUUUCCAUGAAAUUCCUGGAUGACCAUUGGAAAAGCAUCCAUCAGCUCAAGGAAUGAUCGGCCACCGCAGGGCAGCAGAGGUGAUUGCACAUGGGCCAGCGGAUGCGAGCCAUUCCCGUAACGCUCCUGGAGUGCAGUGGUCUCACGGUACCAAGCUGAAAAUGAAAAACAGUAGGAAUAAGCAUACUAAAGGCUCUCGGGGCAGACAGACAAGGCACGGUGCUUUGCUACAAAAGAUGAAGAAACCAUAGGAAGUUCUCCAGGACAAGAAGGACUAACUGGAAAAAGGGAUGCUCCUGAGGGGAUGUCUGGGGAAGGAGCUUGAGGAAAAGCCAAGCAAACAGUGGGGUGCAGAGGCUGAAGAGGAGAAUAAGGCUUGACAAGAGAGGAGGUGAGAAACAAUGAGCUGUCCUGAGCAUGAGCUGCUAUGGGAGCAGAGACCAUCUGCUCUUCACCAGCAUGAAUGGGGCUGAGCGAUAUCCUGCAUUCCUUUGUUCCCUGGUUUAAAGGGAGUCGCAGGCUAUGAGCGUUUAAAGCCAAACACAGUCCUUGAGAGGUUAACCAUGUCUUACCUUUUGUCUGAAUUUCCUCCAUCUCCUCCUCAAGCAUUUUCUCGUGCAGCCGUUAAUUCCUAGCACGUUUUUCCAGCUUGGGUCUUAAGUAGGUGGAUGAAAAGCCCAGGAGGACAUUGCAGUUAGCAGAAGUUAAACAAACUGUGCUGCCCUGGUGCGCAGAGGGUGGGACAGUUGGUAAGGUCUCUCUUUGUGUCUUUAGCCAAGUAGCUGGGGAAUUUGGAGAGGAGAAAUGACCCAAGAAGUACAUGCAGCUUAUAAAAGUGGUAGAGGCCAAUAAAUAAAAACUACUUUCAACUCAGUAACCUACGUAAUAAGGAAAUUGUAAUAGACUGUAAUAAUAGAGCCGUAAACCUGGCUAGGUAAUACUAAUGGGUUGAGCACACUCUUCCAGGAGGGCCAAGAGUGAUGCUCGUGUCUGUUGAUGUAAAGAAGAGGGACAGAGGUGGAUGUGGAGAGCCAUGAUGUGUAAGAGCCAGAUAAUGUUUUUCAGUUCUUUAAACAAAUACGCAGUUAAUGCACGCAUGUGCUAAACCAGCCUUAUACCUCUGAAAAUCAUUUGCUGGGGGAAAACGGAUUUUUAUACGGCAUGUCUUACAUUUCAUGUCUGUCCUUCUCAGACCUGCAGUCAGGCUCUUGGCCUCUUGUAAAUAAGCCUUAAAUUUUACCAGAUAUAUUUUGUGUGGUGACUUUUUUACUGUGUUGCUGUACACAGGUGUCCAUGCUUGAGACAUGCCCUGCAUGCAGAAAGUCCUCAUCAGGGGUCCCGUUCAUCUGUGGUAAAGGCAGAGAUAAGCAUUGUGUCUGCUUUUUCCUUUGCUGGUGUAAGUUUUGAUGCUGCAAAUACUGCUUGUUCUUUCACUGUUUGGGUUUCCUCCUACCUGUACUUCAUGCAAAUAUAUACACAUAUAACAGGCUCUCUGUUUGCUUUGGGUAAGUAAUGAACCAAAAUGCAUCCUCCAGGCAUCUCAUGAGCACUUAGUUCAGUCUUCAGUCCCAAACUUUUUGUACUUCGCUGGGUUUGCAGAGCUGGUUCUGGGUCCUCUCCCCCAUGUACAUCCCCAGCGUGAUGCUGUGCUGCAGGCUCCGUGUUCAUCGCCUCGCAACUGCUCAGUUCUGCCGGGGUAGCUGAAUGGUUAAAUAUCUUUUGGGGGUCAUAUCCAUCACCUUUAGUCUCUGUAGUGGUAACAUUUGCAGGUAGCUUACCAGGCAUCAUCUGAACGCCCAGCAAUACGGAUUGGACAGGAGCAAUAAAACAAAUGCAGAUUUAUCUAAAUACUGUGC